CUAUUAUGAAAAGAAGAAAGAGCCAGUGCUUUUUGGGAGCUGCCCACGAGAUACACCAAGAAGGCUGGUAGGAAUUUGAUGGGAAGCAAUUUAGAAACACUAAACCAGCAUUUUUAGGUUAGCUGACUGGGAGUUAUGGAGCAAGGUCCAAUACUGACAGAACAUUCUUUUAAGUGAAGAUGAAUGGAGCUAGAAGAGAAGGUGAACUAAAAUUUUCCUUUUUAAGUGAAUCCAGGCUGCCAUAUAUCUUGGAAAAAUACUGACUUCAUUCUGUCUUGUGCCUCUGAUUUUAGACCAAACUGAUCCACAACACAGAAAAUACCUGCUAUAUAGAUGAUGCACUUACUAACAGCAAAAAACAAAAGGCUUUUUUCCUUCAUAAUUUGUUUCACAAUUUCCAAGCAAAUAAAUGAGACAGUAAUUCCUUUCCCCUUUACAUUUUUAAUAUUUAAUAACGACUUUCUGACCCACAUCCUACCCACAAAAAAAUUGACCUGUGAUGAUAACCCAUUGGCUACUCAGAAGUACUGUGUUAGUCUCCACAAAUUGUGAUACUUAUGGUGCCACUGUGUAAUGUAAAAAUUCAAGCCACAUUUCCUUUUAUGUUUUUUUUUUCUCCCUAAAACCAAGGGAAAUAGGAAAUGCAAAAGAAAACUUCAGUCAGAAUGAUCAACGUUCUGAUGUCCUUAGAAAACCCAACUGAUGUUUGAAAAUAAAUUUGAAAAAAAAACGCUGAAGCUGCUGUAGUCAAUAACUCAAAAUUCGUACAGGAGUUCUUCAGACAUCUGAGAGAUUUCUUAAACAGGUUUUAUGAAAAAUACAUGAGUAGUUU